rnacentral:rRNA from 1 species
GACGAACGCUGGCGGCGUGCUUAACACAUGCAAGUCGAACGGAAAGACCCUGCUUUUGCUUGGUGCUCGAUAGGCGAACGGGUGAGUAACACGCGUGUAACCUGUCCUUAACUUUGGGAUAACUUUAGGAAACUGGGGAUAAUACCCGAUAGGAUCUCCUGCUGCACGGGGGGGGUUGGAAAGUUUCGGCGGUUCGGGCUGGAUUGGCGGCUUAUCCGCUUGUUGGUGGGGUAGUUGCUUACCAAGGUUUUGACGGGUAGCCUGCCUGAGAGGGUGAACGGCCACAUGGGGACUAAGGGACGGCGCAGUAUGCUACGGUAGGCAGCGGUGGAGAAUAUUGCGGAAUGGGGGGAAGCGUGAUGCAGCAGCGCCCGGUGCGGAAUGACGGCCUUCGGGUUGUAAACCGAUUUCGACGGUGCCGAAGCGUGAGUGACGGUAAUGAGUAAAAAAGCACCGGCUAACUACGUG